UGGAUGUGAGGACCUGUCACACUGGACCAGAGCUGAAGGCUGCAGCUCAUUCCUGGAUCAGAGGACUCCUUAUUGGACACCACGACCUGGAGAAGUCCCGUCCUGGAUGGCUGCGGUGAUGACCUAGUCCAAGAUGAACUGACCCUUCUACGACGAGGACUUUGCCCAAGAUGAACCAACCUUUUCCAUCUCUUUUCCACGGGAUGUCUUCAGAUGCUGGACCUUGCCAAACUGUACACAUG